CAAGCAGCAGCAGCUGACGGGAUUCUAAUCAACACACACACACACACACACACACAUAACCACAACCCUGGAGGGUUGGGGAUGGUAACGGUUUCAACACACCGGAGUAGAGCAAUGUGUGCGUUAUCAAGGCGAUAAGGAGGUAAACAGAGCGCGUUAGCAAAGCGCGUCGCACGUUCCAAAUUGCAGUAGGCCGCCAGUCACACAGACCCCGUUUGACGUUUAGUGCACAGUGUGUGUUGGUGCGUAGCUGGAGCGACUCGAUGUUGCUAGUGAACGAGUGAGAGUUUUAGGCGAUUCUUUUUUAGUGCCGCGGAUGGAAGGAAUGAUUUUGCGGGUAGAAUCGAACCGAGCAGCACCGGCAGUCCGAUGGGAGAGUGCGUCAAGUCGUGUUGCUACUGUUGUGCCUCGUGCUACAACACACCGAUCUGCUGUGUUGGAAGUCUGUGCUGCGUGCUGAUACCGCUGCUCGGGCUGCUGGUGAUUCUGUUCGGCGCAGUGUUUGGCAUGAUCGUUGGCAUAGCCUGGCUGACACAGCACCACACCGAACCGGCGACCGUCAACCGUAUGCUUGCGAUACUGGCAAACAGCUCCGCCGUGGAGUCUUUCACCGCGAGCGAACAAAGUGUUGUGGAAUAGGCGCUGGAUGGUGGAGGAGUUGUUAUCAAUCCAUUAUCAAGUACUUCCGACACAACACGACCAGCGGUGUCAACACACAAAAAAGCAUCAUUAGAGCAACUUUGUACGCUAGGUCUUUGCCGUACAGCAACAACACCCCCGGGGGGCAGACUGGCAUGGUUCUCGGAUGGUCAAGGAAAAUGCGUGCGGUGCGGCAGAUGCCACCUCGGAGAUUAGAUUGCGGAGAUCGAUUGGCCGAAGCAGUAGCAGCACUUCACGAUACACAGGCCGGCAUCAUCGUUAGCUGACACAUACACAAACACACUAGCAUACGUAUAGGAUAUAGGUCAAUAGGUCUAGCAAACUGUAAGAAGGGUCUUAGCAUAAUUAGUAUGCAGAUUGCGAAUGCGAUCACCGAUCCGCCUAAAAGAGGGAGAGAGAGAGAACAAAACAAAAAACAAGAUUGAUGAUGGUUUUGAGGCACCGUUUUGUACUGCGUGUGAAACGCAACUGGCAGGAGGUUCAGGUGGGAGGGUUUUGGUUUGUUCUUAUCAGCAAAUCGAAGAUUUAGCCCAACGAUAGUGCGCAUAAAAGGUUCCGAUCUUACGCAAA